CCUACGGGUGGCAGCAGUAGGGAAUCUUCGGCAAUGGGCGAAAGCCUGACCGAGCAACGCCGCGUGAAUGAUGAAGGCCUUCGGGUUGUAAAAUUCUGUUAUAAGGGAAGAACGACUUUAGUAGGAAAUGGCUAAAGUGUGACGGUACCUUAUGAGAAAGCCACGGCUAACUACGUGCCAGCAGCCGCGGUAAUACGUAGGUGGCAAGCGUUAUCCGGAAUUAUUGGGCGUAAAGAGCGCGCAGGUGGUUGAUUAAGUCUGAUGUGAAAGCCCACGGCUUAACCGUGGAGGGUCAUUGGAAACUGGUCGACUUGAGUGCAGAAGAGGGAAGUGGAAUUCCAUGUGUAGCGGUGAAAUGCGUAGAGAUAUGGAGGAACACCAGUGGCGAAGGCGGCUUCCUGGUCUGUAACUGACACUGAGGCGCGAAAGCGUGGGGAGCAAACAGGAUUAGAUACCCCGGUAGUC
rnacentral:rRNA from 1 species